GACGAACGCUGGCGGCGUGCUUAACACAUGCAAGUCGAACGGAAAGGCCCUGCUUUUGUGGGGUGCUCGAAUGGCGAACGGGUGAGUAACACGUGAGUAACCUGCCCUUGACUUUGGGAUAACUUCAGGAAACUGGGGCUAAUACCGGAUAGGAGCUCCUGCUGCAUGGUGGGGGUUGGAAAGUUUCGGCGGUUGGGGAUGGACUCGCGGCUUAUCAGCUUGUUGGUGGGGUAGUGGCUUACCAAGGCUUUGACGGGUAGCCGGCCUGAGAGGGUGACCGGCCACAUUGGGACUGAGAUACGGCCCAGACUCCUACGGGAGGCAGCAGCGGGGAAUAUUGCACAAUGGGCGGAAGCCUGAUGCAGCAACGCCGCGUGCGGGAUGACGGCCUUCGGGUUGUAAACCGCUUUCGCCUGUGACGAAGCGUGAGUGACGGUAAUGGGUAAAGAAGCACCGGCUAACUACGUG
rnacentral:rRNA from 1 species